rnacentral:rRNA from 1 species
AUUGAACGCUGGCGGCAGGCCUAACACAUGCAAGUCGAGCGGAGCGGCGGACGGGUGAGUAAUGCCUGGGAAUCUGCCUGGUAGUGGGGGAUGAAGUCCGGAAACGGGCGCUAAUAACGCAUACUAUACAACGAGACUAGGCCGGAUUAGCUAGGUGGUGGGGUAAAGGCCUACCAAGGCAACGCACCGUAACUGGUCUGAGUGGAUGAUCAGUCACACUGGAACUGAGACACGGUCCAGACUCCUACGGGAGGCAGCAGUGGGGAAUAUUGGACAAUGGGCGAAAGCCUGAUCCAGCCAUGCCGCGUGUGUGAAGAAGGUCUUCGGAUUGUAAAGCACUUUAAGUUGGGAGGCGUUACCAACAGAAUAAGCACCGGCUAACUUCGUGCCAGCCGCCGCGGUAAUUC